rnacentral:lncRNA from 1 species
GAUAUUCCAUUAGUAAUGAAAAAAGGGGUUGAGGGGAUCCGUAUAUGUUGUUCAGGUCGAUCAGAAGGCGCAAAAAUAGCUAGAACUGAAUGCGGAAAGUAUGGAAAAACAUCUCCGUAAUGUAUUUAACCAGAAAAUAGAUUAUGCUUCUGCAGUAGUAUCUACUCGUUACGGAAUCUCAGGUGUCAAAGUGUGGAUUUCAUAUAGUAAAAAAAAAAAGGGACGUGCUAUA